rnacentral:rRNA from 1 species
UCGGGAAUUUUGGGCAAUGGGCGAAAGCCUGACCCAGCAACGCCGCGUGAGGGAUGAAGUAUUUCGGUAUGUAAACCUCGAAAGAAUGGGAAGAAUAAAUGACGGUACCAUUUAUAAGCUCCGGCUAACUACGUGCCAGCAGCCGCGGUAAUACGUAGGGAGCAAGCGUUGUUCGGAUUUACUGGGCGUAAAGGGCGCGUAGGCGGCGCGGUAAGUCACUUGUGAAAUCUCUGAGCCUAACUCAGAACGGCCGAGUGAUACUGCUGUGCUAGAGUGCGGAAGAGGCAACCGGAAUUCUUGGUGUAGCGGUGAAAUGCGUAGAUAUCAAGAGGAACACCUGAGGCGAAGGCGGGUUGCUGGGCCGACACUGACGCUGAUGCGCGAAAGCCAGGGGAGCAAACG